UACAGAGGCCUCGAGCGUUAGGCGGAAUCACUGGGCUUAAAGCGUGUGUAGGCGGACUUCUAAGUACCUUGUGAAAUCCCACGGCUCACCCGUGGAACGGCUGGGUAUACUGGUCGUCUUGAGCCUUCUAGGGGCUGCCGGAACAAAUGGUGGAGCGGUGAAAUGCGUAGAGACCCGGAGGAACACCAGUGGCGAAGGCGGCUUCCUGGUCUGCGACUGACGCUGUGGCGCGAAAGCUAGGGGAGCAAACGGG
rnacentral:rRNA from 1 species